UUUAGAAGAGAGUAUUUGGUUCGCUUCUUUUUUACCAUGGAAUCGGAAUGGAAAUAAGUGAAUCCGUUUGUGGGUGUUUGGUACGUGGGAGUCCUAUUCCGAUUCUGAUUCCCGAGUUGAAUGAGAAUUGAUCGCUCAAUCACCCCUUUUUUCAAUCCGCCCUAGAAGGUCGGAUUGGAAGUUGAAUCCGGAUGGAAUGGAUAUUUAUUCAGAUUAAAUUUAUUUUUUCUACUUUUUUAAUUAAAAUAUGAGUUAAAAUUUAAAAAUUAAAUAUAUAAAUUUAAAUUUUAAUUUGAACUUAAAUAAAAAAUUAAAAUUUAAUCAAGUAUUUCGAAUCUAACUUAUGAAUUUGAAUUUAAGUUAAAUUUUAAUUUAUAUAAAGUUUAUUUAAAUUUUAUUUCAAACUUAAAUUAAAUUUAUGAAUUCAAAUUAAAAUUAAAAUUAAAAUUUUAAGUUUGAAUUUGAAUAAAUCAAAAUUUAGUUUCAUAUUUUGAAUUAUCCACUCAACUUCAAAGUUUAAUUUUUUAAAAAAAAUAGAUUUAAAAUUUUAACAUUAUUUCAAAAUUUUGAUAUAAAUUUUUAAUAUUUAAUAUUUAAUUUGAAUUUAAAUUAAUAUAUUAUAAAGGUAAUGUUAGUAUAUUAAUUUAAUUACGUUUUUAUAUCCAUCUAAACCAAACACCGACAAUGGGAAUGAUUUAUUCCGAUUUUGAUUAAGUGAUGAACCAAACAGAAUUAGAUAAUGAGUCAUUCUGAUUCCGAUUUCAGCUUAUUUUGAUUCUGAUUCAAAUUCCGACUCCGACUUCGAACCAAACACGCCCUAAGCGUCUAUGGAGG
rnacentral:lncRNA from 1 species